GUCCUUUAGAAAUGAAUUUAAGGUCUAACCUGCCCAUUGAUUAAUUUAACGGCCGCAGUAAAUUGACUGUGCAAAGGUAGCAUAAUCAUUAGUUUUUUAAUUGAAAGCUUGUAUGAAUGGUUGGACGAGAUAUAAUCUGUCUUUAUUUUAUAAUUAGAAUUUAAUUUUUAAGUUAAAAAGCUUAAAUAUUAUUAAAAGACGAGAAGACCCUAUAGAUUUUUAUAUAUUUAAUUAUUUAUUUAUUAAGGAUUAAAAAUUUUUAUAUAAUUUUAUAUAUUUUAUUGGGGUAAUAAAUAGAUUUAAUAAAUUCUUUUUAAAAUUAACAUAGAUUAGUGAUUUAAAUGAUCCAAUUUUUUUUGAUUAUAAGAUUAAGUUACCUUAGGGAUAACAGCGUAAUUUUUUUUGAGAGUUCUUAUCGAUAAAAAAGUUUGCGACCUCGAUGUUGGAUUAAAAUUAAUUUUAGGUGUAGAAGUUUAAAGUUUUAGUCUGUUCGACUAUUAAAAUUUU
rnacentral:rRNA from 1 species